UUGAUCAAGACCGUGUGAAGCAAAACCAAUUUAUGGGGCCAACAAGAGCUUCAUCAAAGGAGUUCAACCACAAUUCUCAAAAGCUUAACACACUCUUGAUCAAGACAGUGUGAAGCAAAACCAAUUUAUGGUGCCAACAAGAGCUUCAUCAAAGGAGUUCAACCAUAACUCUCAAAAGCUUCACACACUCUUAAUCAAGACAGUAUGAAGCAAAACCAAUUUAUGGUGCCAACAAAAACUUCAUCAAUGAAGGGCAACUACAAUUCUCAAAAGCUUCACACACUCUUGAUCAAGACAGUGUGAAGCAAAACCAAUUUAUGGUGCCAAUAAGAGCUUCAUCAAUGGAGGGCAACCACAACUCUCAAAAGCUUCACACACUCUUAAUCAAGACAAUGUGAAGCAAAACUAAUUUAUGGUGCCAACAAAAGUUUCAUCAAUGGAGGACAACUACAAAUUCCCCAAAGCUUCACACUAUCUUGAUCAAGAUAAUGUGAAGCAAAAUCAAUUCAUGAUACCCAACAAAAGCUUCAACUCCAAAGCUUCACCUACAAUGCUUCAGCUCCAAAGCUUCAGCUACAAAAGCUUUAACACAAAAGCUUCACCCACAAAAGCUU
rnacentral:lncRNA from 1 species